rnacentral:RNase_P_RNA from 1 species
GUCAUUGCUGAUCCAUCGCCUCUUUGUAAGACAAGGGGAGGAAAGUCCGGGCAGCGCAGUGCAUCUUGCUUCCUAACAGGAAGGAUCCCGUUUAUUCGGGAGACAGCGAGUGCCACAGAAAAUAACUAUCCGCCGAAGAGGCGGAAAAAGGUGAAAAUGUGAGGUAAGAGCUCACGGUGAUCAUUAGCGAUAGUGGUCACGGGUAAACCUCAGGAGCUGAAAGACCAAAUAAGUCAUGGUACAAGGGCUGCACGUCCGAACUCCUUCGGGAAACCAUGAUGGGUAGGUCGAUAGAGGUAAUGUGCGAACAUUAUCCCAGAUAAAUGAUGGAUCCUGCAUUCGUAGGAACAGAACCCGGCUUACCAUUCAAUGACACGA